AUUGAACGCUGGCGGCAGGCCUAACACAUGCAAGUCGAACGGUAGCACAGAGAGCUUGCUCUCGGGUGACGAGUGGCGGACGGGUGAGUAACGUCUGGGAAACUGCCCGAUGGAGGGGGAUAACUACUGGAAACGGUAGCUAAUACCGCAUAACGUCGCAAGACCAAAGUGGGGGACCUUCGGGCCUCACACCAUCGGAUGUGCCCAGAUGGGAUUAGCUAGUAGGUGGGGUAAUGGCUCACCUAGGCGACGAUCCCUAGCUGGUCUGAGAGGAUGACCAGCCACACUGGAACUGAGACACGGUCCAGACUCCUACGGGAGGCAGCAGUGGGGAAUAUUGCACAAUGGGCGCAAGCCUGAUGCAGCCAUGCCGCGUGUAUGAAGAAGGCCUUCGGGUUGUAAAGUACUUUCAGCGGGGAGGAAGGCGGUGAAGUUAAUAGCUUAACCGAUUGACGUUACCCGCAGAAGAAGCACCGGCUAACUCCGUGCCAGCCGCCGCCGUAA
rnacentral:rRNA from 1 species